CGGAUGACUUGUGGCUGGGGGUGAAAGGCCAAUCAAACCGGGAGAUAGCUGGUUCUCCCCGAAAGCUAUUUAGGUAGCGCCUCGUGAAUUCAUCUCCGGGGGUAGAGCACUGUUUCGGCAAGGGGGUCAUCCCGACUUACCAACCCGAUGCAAACUGCGAAUACCGGAGAAUGUUAUCACGGGAGACACACGGCGGGUGCUAACGUCCGUCGUGAAGAGGGAAACAACCCAGACCGCCAGCUAAGGUCCCAAAGUCAUGGUUAAGUGGGAAACGAUGUGGGAAGGCCCAGACAGCCAGGAUGUUGGCUUAGAAGCAGCCAUCAUUUAAAGAAAGCGUAAUAGCUCACUGGUCGAGUCGGCCUGCGCGGAAGAUGUAACGGGGCUAAACCAUGCACCGAAGCUGCGGCAGCGACACUAUGUGUUGUUGGGUAGGGGAGCGUUCUGUAAGCCUGUGAAGGUGUGCUGUGAGGCAUGCUGGAGGUAUCAGAAGUGCGAAUGCUGACAUAAGUAACGAUAAAGCGGGUGAAAAGCCCGCUCGCCGGAAGACCAAGGGUUCCUGUCCAACGUUAAUCGGGGCAGGGUGAGUCGACCCCUAAGGCGAGGCCGAAAGGCGUAGUCGAUGGGAAACAGGUUAAUAUUCCUGUACUUGGUGUUACUGCGAAGGGGGGACGGAGAAGGCUAUGUUGGCCGGGCGACGGUUGUCCCGGUUUAAGCGUGUAGGCUGGUUUUCCAGGCAAAUCCGGAAAAUCAAGGCUGAGGCGUGAUGACGAGGCACUACGGUGCUGAAGCAACAAAUGCCCUGCUUCCAGGAAAAGCCUCUAAGCAUCAGGUAACAUCAAAUCGUACCCCAAACCGACACAGGUGGUCAGGUAGAGAAUACCAAGGCGCUUGAGAGAACUCGGGUGAAGGAACUAGGCAAAAUGGUGCCGUAACUUCGGGAGAAGGCACGCUGAUAUGUAGGUGAAGCGACUUGCUCGUGGAGCUGAAAUCAGUCGAAGAUACCAGCUGGCUGCAACUGUUUAUUAAAAACACAGCACUGUGCAAACACGAAAGUGGACGUAUACGGUGUGACGCCUGCCCGGUGCCGGAAGGUUAAUUGAUGGGGUCAGCGCAAGCGAAGCUCUUGAUCGAAGCCCCGGUAAACGGCGGCCGUAACUAUAACGGUCCUAAGGUAGCGAAAUUCCUUGUCGGGUAAGUUCCGACCUGCACGAAUGGCGUAAUGAUGGCCAGGCUGUCUCCACCCGAGACUCAGUGAAAUUGAACUCGCUGUGAAGAUGCAGUGUACCCGCGGCAAGACGGAAAGACCCCGUGAACCUUUACUAUAGCUUGACACUGAACAUUGAGCCUUGAUG
rnacentral:rRNA from 1 species